rnacentral:rRNA from 1 species
GCAGCCGCCGCGGUAAUACGUAGGGUGCAAGCGUUAAUCGGAAUUACUGGGCGUAAAGCGUGCGCAGGCGGUUAUAUAAGACAGAUGUGAAAUCCCCGGGCUCAACCUGGGAACUGCAUUUGUGACUGUAUAGCUAGAGUACGGCAGAGGGGGAUGGAAUUCCGCGUGUAGCAGUGAAAUGCGUAGAUAUGCGGAGGAACACCGAUGGCGAAGGCAAUCCCCUGGGCCUGUACUGACGCUCAUGCACGAAAGUGUGGGGAGCAAACAGGAUUAGAUACCCGGGUAGUCCCUGUCUCUUAUAC